rnacentral:rRNA from 1 species
UACGUAGGUGGCAAGCGUUAUCCGGAUUUAUUGGGUGUAAAGGGCGUGUAGGCGGGAAUGCAAGUCAGAUGUGAAAACUAUGGGCUCAACCCAUAGCCUGCAUUUGAAACUGUAUUUCUGAGUGCUGGAGAGGCAAUCGGAAUUCCGUGUGUAGCGGUGAAAUGCGUAGAUAUACGGAGGAACACCAGUGGCGAAGGCGGAUUGCUGGACAGUAACUGACGCUGAGGCGCGAAAGCGUGGGGAGCAAACAGG